GAAAAGGAAGCUUUAUUGUUUCCAAGGACUCUGCUGGAGGAGUCAUGCAAACCACCAUUUCUUCCUCUAAUGUCCAUGUGCCAUAAUGGUCUGAGGAAGGGAGAACAAGCCUUUGAGGCGGCUACCAGGAUCCUCAGCAGAUCUCUGGGAUAUCAUUCACUCAUGCUUCUAUGCUGGCUGACUCCUACCAUCAUCACGUUCUUCCAGUUCUCACAGUGGGGUAGGCAGUAGUCACGUAGGCAGAGCCUUCUGAGCUACAGUAAA
rnacentral:lncRNA from 1 species